UACAGGAGUUGCCGAUCCAAAGGCCUGGCUCAGGAGUGAUCCUGUGCCACCUGUACCAUCAAGAUCAAGAUCAAUUGCCACCCCUUUAGUGAAAAAGUAGAUGACGGUUCUGACUUCACUUCCAUUUAUUUGUGCACUUUCACGUUUUGGAGACGAUCCAUCAACCCAAAAUGGUGGGCAGCACACGCAGUGAUGAGUGUGUGUGUGAAGUCACCUUGGGAGUGGAGCCUCAGAGUAUAACUGUGCGUGUGCCCGUAGCAGUUCCUGCAAAUAUCUGCCCAGUGGAGUUGGCACACCGUCUCAUACUACACCAUAACAUCCCUAUCUACUUACAUAAUGAACUGAGUGAGAAGCUUCAGGCCUUCCUUCAGAAUCGCACAGAAGAGUAUCACCGUCAGCAGGACCAGAGGGCAUUGCAAGGGUUAAGGGAAGGCAGAACCUCUGUUAGUGAUGCUGCUGCUGCUUGGGCUGCCAAAUAUUCACAAGUCCUGACAGGGCUUGCCAUCCUGGAGGCGGUGAGUGGCGCUGCUUGGCCUGAGACUAUAACAUGCUGUUGUUCGGUGGAAGGAUACAUUAUGAGGGUGGUUGUCCAACUUGGUUAUAUACCUCAACCAUAUUUAAGCAAGAAGCAGGAAGCUGAAGGGUGUGAGAAUGAACUGCUAGCAACCAUGUACCAUUCUUUAGUUCACUCUCCAACAGUGGUCCCUCUGCUGGGUCUGGAGCACUCCUUUGCUAGUACCAUGAGUUCCCUUGUAGCCCAACGGGAACAUGCUUUGCGGGAGAUUAGUGAAAGACAGACCCAGGAGAUGAGCAGCACAGUGAGCAAGGUUGGGGUGCAUCUCACAGAUGAUGAUGUCAAUAACUUGGCAGCACGACAUCUAGAAGAUUCCCAACUGCUUGAGGUUCAAUGGGACUCCACCAUUUCAGUCUUAAGGGAAAACCAAAAGCGUGAGUUUAAGACUUUUGUGGAAGAGUCUUUUGCUGGAAGAGAGGUCACCACUCCAGUUACCCCAAAAGACUUUAUCAAAGGUGACACAGAAUCAGUGUUGGUGGAGAGUAGUGAGCCCAGUCAGGAAGAAAGCUUCACCAUCCACCUUGGGGCACAGAUGAAGCAGAUGCACAACUUAAGGCUCCUAUCUGCAGAUGCCCUCCAGCUUUGUAAAUACCUGACCCUUGAUCUAAGUGACAUACCACCUCAGAGGAUCCAAACAUCAAUGAGCCUGUACUCUCACAACCUGAAUGGCCUGGUGCUGCUUGUUGAUGACCGCAUCAACACUUACACUGGCAUCAAGCGGGACUUUGGACGUGUGUGUAGAAAGUCCACUGAACUCCAUUUCCCUGACUUAGAGGACCAGCUGGAGGUGGUGCGUAAUACAGUACCACAAGUGGUGCAGUGGCGACGAGAUCACCCACCUCCUCAGUAUGACUGUGAUGAGGAUGCUCCACCUCCCCCUCCAGUCCCUCAGCACUUGAAAGCUGGAGAUUUCUACAUCACCAGACACUCUAAUCUGGCAGAUGUACAUGUGAUGUUCCACAUGGUGGUGGAUGACACUCUCCACACAACUGACAUAAAUUCUCGUCAUCCAGUCAUUCUUGGUCUGCGAAAUGUCCUGAAGGUUGCCUGUCUUGGGGGACAUCACCACCCUCACCAUUCCCCUGCUGCUGACUAAUAGUAUGUCAGAGGAAAUGACCAUGUCAUGGUGUCAGAAGCGAGCUGAGUUGGUGUAUAAGUGCAUCAAAGGGUUCAUGAUGGAGAUGUCCUCAUGGGGUGGUGCUGAGAUGAAGAAUAUGCAGUUUCUUGUUCCCAAGGUGUCUACUGCCUCCUCCUCUGUAAGUGGAUGUGGAAACGAGACAAAGUAAGUGGUUAAAUGAACGUAAAUUUGAAGAAGAAUCACUAAAGAAAAUAACAGAACAACAAGAAAAUGAGAAACAAAACCUGAGACAGAAAGUGGUAAAUGUUAUUAAAGAAGAAAAAAAAUUGGUGAGAGACACUAGAAAAAUAUAAACAAAUAAUUAUAUUUGGUUUAAAGGAAGAGAAAAUAGUAAGCAGAAUUCAAAGAAAGGAAAAGGAAAAGAACCUGUUGAAUAAGUUACUGAUGAAAGUGAUGGGUGAAGACACUCAGGUAGUAAAGCAAGUGGAAGCGAAAAAAAAUGAGACCCAUAAGAAUAAGGUUUGCAACAUAGGUACAAGCAAAAGAAGUAAUUUAUGGAUCUUGGAGGUUGUCUGGAGAUGAAGAAUAUAAGAAUAUAUAUGGAUAAACAGGGAUAUGGAUGAGAUUGAAAGGUUGAAGCAAAAGGAGCUGAUAAAUGAGGCUAAACAAAAAAAAACGAACAACGAACGGAGGAGGAGAAGAAAUUUUUCUGGAAAGUAAGAGACAUGAGAAUAAAGAAAUGGUACAUCAAACAGUAAGUAAAGUAUGUUAUACUAAUGUAAAUGGAUUAAUGUCAACAAAGAUGAAAUUAAAUGAGUUAUUAAACAGAACCACACUGGAUGUUGCUGUAUUAUUUGAGACAGAAUGGAAAAACAAAUUGGGAUCUCAUGACAUUGGUGAUGAUCAAUAUGAUUUAUGGAUGAAAAAUAGAAGUGACAAGGGAGGAGGUGGAGUGAUCAUUAUGACUAAAAGAUGUGUUAAAGUGGAAAGGGUAAUAAAAAGUGAAGACAAGUCUGAAAUUCUACAAGUGAUGAUUAGAAGUGAAAAUAGAAGGAUAAUGAAUUAUGUAGGAGUGUAUGUGCCACCUGUGACCAAUGCUUGGCGAAGAGAAGAGCACGAAGAGAUGUUGGAAGAUGUUUUAAAAGAUCUUGAAAAGAUAGUGAUGGAAAGUAGUAAUAUAGUUAUUGUUGGUGAUUUUAAUUGUAAGGAGAUAAGUUGGGAGACACUGACAACUACUGGAAGUGAAAACUCAUGGAGUAAUAGACUGUUAAACUGGGUGGUGGAAAACUUAAUGAUUUAAUGGGUUGAUUGUGAUACCAGAUUUAGUGAAACUCAUAAACCAUCAAGACUUGAUUUACUGUUUACCAAGGAGAUGGAAAUUAUUGAAACUAUACACUAUGAUAGCCCUUUAGAUAAAAGUGAUCAUGUGUUGAUGGAAUUUAUCUUGAAAAAUUAAAAUGUAAUCAUUUAUGAAAAUUAUAAGGUGAAAAGAUUUAAAUAUAGUAAAGCUGACUUUGAAAAAUUAAGAAAAUAUUUUGUUACUGUGGAUUGGAAAGACUUUGAAGACACAGAAGAUGUUUGGGAAAAAUGGGAUGAAUUUACAAGGAUGUAUAAUUCUGCUGUGGAGAAAUUUUGUACCUAGAGAAGGAUUAGGAUGUAGAAAGGGUAAAGAAUGGUUCAGUACAAAAUGCAAAGAGGCUAGAAAUUGUAAGCUAGAUGCUUGGAAUAGGUGGAAGAAGAGGAAAACUGAGAGCAGAUAGGAAUAUAUUGAUGCUAGAAAUAAGUACGUUGAGAUAAUAAGAAUGGAGAGAAGAAACUAUGAAAGAGAUGUAAUAGAUAAGUGUAUAAAUGAACCCAGACUGUUCUUUAGACAUAUUAAUGGGAAGAUGAAGAAGGAAGGUGUAUCAAGAUUGAAAGUUGAAGGAAAAAUCUACAAGGAUGCACAGGACAUGGUAGAGGUUAUGAACAAUAGUUUUAGAUCAGUAUUUACUGUGGAAGGGGAGUUUGAUGCUGGAAGGGAUAAGUUGGUGAGAAAUAUACUAAGUACAGUCCCAGUCAGUUAUGAGGAAAUACUUAAGAUGAUGGAAGAACUUGAUGUAAAUAAAGCAACCAGUCCAGAUGGAGUAUCAAAAUAGUUAUUGAAGGAAUGUAGAGAACAAUUGGCUGAUAAAAUUUACAGUCUAUUGGUGACAUCACUAUCACAGGGAAGAGUACUGAAAGAUUGGAAGAGAGGAAAUAUUACACCAAUAUUCAAAGGAGAAAAUAAGAAAAACCCACUAAAUCAUAGACCAGUGUCCUUGACUAGUGUUGUAGGAAAAAUAUGUGAAAGAACAAUAAAGGAAAGAUGGAUGGAACACUUGGAAAAAGAUAAAGUUUUGGUAAAUUGUCAAUUUGGAUUUAGGAGGGGAAGAUCAUGCUCCAUGAACUUAGUCCUUUUAUUCAAGGGUAAUAGAUAUUGUGUAGUAGAGGGAUGGAUAGGUGGAUGGUGUCUAUUUGGACUUGAAGAAAGCGUUUCACAAAGUACCUUACUGAAGAUUGCUAUGGGAGAUAAAAAAUUAUGGAAAAAUUGGAGGAAGACUGCUGGAGUGGAUGGAGGAUUAUCUGGAUGAUAGAGAGAUGAGAACAGUAAUACAAGACCAGAAUUCAUCUUGGCUGAAGGUAACUAGUGGUGUAAAACAGCGGUCAGUGUUGGGACCGAUA